rnacentral:rRNA from 1 species
CGGUGGUGUGAAUUGUCUGGUUAAUUCCGUUAACGGACGAGAUCUCAACCUACUAAAUAGUCACUGGUAGCCGCUACAAAAGGCCAGUGGCAGUUGGCGUUCUGCGUUCUGCGUGGGGCGUUGGCUGUUGUUGGUUGGUGGCUAUCAGGAUGCACUUCUUAGAGGGACAACCCGCAUCAAGCGGGCGGAAGAGUGAGGUAAUAGCA